CCUCACCAGUCACGACCCAGCAAACCACUCCCUCUCUCCGUGAACGAACCACGAUCAACGCUCUCCACCGGCGCCGCUCCACCUGCGGCCUCCUCGAUUCCUUCAGCUUCUGCGCUCUGGAUUGCAAGUUUAUGUUAGAGGUUGAACAAAGAGAUACAAAUGGGAGAGGAAAAAAAGAACAAGAGGGAUAUUAUCCCAUCAAUGAUAAAGAACAAGGAAAAGAGGAAAGAAGUGCACGCCAACCUCAAGCAGCAGAAGAAGCUUGAGAAACGCAAGAGGGCCAAGGCUCGUGAUGCCUCUGAAAAGCAAGCUCUUGAACUUGGAGAAGAACCUCCUCCCAGGAUGAUUCCUCGCACCAUUGAGAACACCAGGGAGGUUGAUGAGACUGUUUGCAAACCUGAUGAUGAAGAGCUAUUUGCAGGAAAUGAUGCCGAUGAAUUUAGUUCGAUCAUAAAGCGCCACACUUUGCCAAAAGUUCUAAUAACUACUUGUCGUUUUAACUCUUCUAUUGGACCUUCUUUUAUAUCAGAGUUGCUUUCAGUGAUUCCAAAUGCACAUUACUACAAGAGAGGAACUAACGAUUUGAAGAAGAUUAUCGAAUAUGCAAAUGCCAAGGACUUCACUUCUUUGAUGGUUGUUCAUACGAGUAGGAGAAAAUUAGAUGGCCUUCUAAUCAUUGGCUUACCUGAGGGACCUACUGCCCAUUUUAAGAUAUCAAAUGUUGUCUUACGAAAGGAUAUUAAGAAUCAUGGAAAUCCAACCAGCCAUGAGCCAGAGCUUGUAUUGACCAACUUCACAACACGCCUUGGUCUCCGUGUUGGAAGAUUAAUUCAAUCACUAUUCCCUCAAGAUCCUAAUUUUCGUGGUCGGCGAGUUGUAACGUUUCACAACCAACGGGACUUUGUAUUCUUCCGGCAUCACCGUUACAUUUUUGAUAGCAAGGAAAAUAAAAAAGAGGCUGACUCGAAAAGUAACUCCAAGGAUGCCAAGGGUGAGAAAGUUCCUCAGCAGAAAGUAAUUGCACGGCUUCAGGAAUGCGGUCCUCGCUUCACGAUGAAAUUGAUCAGUUUGCAGCAUGGGACCUUUGAUUCUAAAGGCGGGGAAUAUGAGUGGGUUCAUAAGCCUGAAAUGGACACGAGCCGCAGAAGAUUUUUCUUGUGACAUGCUAAAUGGAGUUCUUUACUAACAUUUCUGUGGAGUAAAAGUUGUUCGACUGAAGCUAUCUAAUAUUAUGUGUAGACCAUUAAUGGGAUCCAAAUCGCUUUUUCGGCCUGGUUGUAGAUCCAGCUGAAAUUUUAUCCAAAUUGCAUCCAGACAGCACGGAAGCGUGGACUUGAGCAGAGGGUUGGAGGUUCGCUCGAUUUCGUUGUUCGACAGAAUUUGGACAGCCUGUUGGUCACAUUCUUUGAAUCCAAUUCUCUUCUUGAUGGAUUCUUUGUCUUGGGUUUCAUGUCAUGGAAAAACUAGUGGCUUCAGCUGCAGAAUCUGCAUCAAGUCGUUGAAAAUUAAACGAGUGUUGCUCAUACUGCCGGAAGGAAUCUCUCCAAUUUGGAUAUAAUUUGUUGGGGGAUUGUUUAAUUUGUACUCUUGUCAAUGAGAUCACCAUUUAGCAAUCUCUCCAAUUUGGUUUCAACAUGAUGGAUGCUUUUGUGAGCAA